rnacentral:rRNA from 1 species
GGAGUUUGGGCCGUGUCUCAGUCCCAAUGUGGCCGAUCACUCUCUCAAGUCGGCUACUGAUCGUUGCCUUGGUAGGCCGUUACCCUGCCAACUAGCUAAUCAGACGCGGGUCCAUCCUGUACCACCGGAGUUUUUCACACUCUGACAUGCGUCAGUGUGCGCUUAUGCGGUAUUAUCACCUAUUUCUAAGUGUUAUCCCCCGGUGCAGGGCAGGUUACCCACGUGUUACUCACCCGUCCGCCACUAAAAUGAUAAGAAUCCAACCGAAACCUUCAUCAAAUCAUUUCCGUUCGACUUGCAUGUGUUAGGCACGCCGCCAGCGUUCAUC